CUCACUCUCUCUCUCUUACUGCAGGAAUAAUGAUGAUUCAUUUGAAUGUUUGGACUGUGCAUAUGAAGAGACUGUGUUAGUAGGGCAGCAGUGUUUGCAAGGAAGAAAUAUAUUGAAACACUUCCCUGCUGUCUAUCAACUGAUGUGAAUGUUACAGUUAAGAGCAGAUGAACUUGGAACUGGUCUGUGGGGGAUACUGCUGUAACUUGCCCAGAGUCUUGAAGUUGCAGCCAAGUGACCUGCCACUGAGAUCAUCACAUCCACAAAGGAGCUUUUUUCAUUGCACCCAGUAGACAGGACUGCACCAGCUUGUGGCUUGUAUCCCAUAAAGCAUUCCUUCAGUUUCAAAAUUUUGCAUAGUGACAGAAGCAGACAGAAUUAUCACAAAUAAUUUUGGUUCUUGUUAGCUAUAAAAGAGUAAACUUUCCAAGCCUACCCAUUUUGUAGAACAUGAAGGUGGAUAAAUAUUUUUUCCAUUAGUGAUUUCUUUAAUAGGGCAUUAGAUUAAAAACUGGUUAUUGCCUUAUGCUAUA